UGGUGAGAGGGCUGAAAUCCCAAAGCCUUGUGGCUGCUUUCUGCUGCCUUUUGUCUCCCUAUUUCUCCUCCUGUUUCUCCUGGUACCAGUUGCUUCUGAGGCACUGUUGACCACUUACUAACUACUCUUUUGGUUUGACAAAGGUGGAUGUGUUUUUAUCCUACAGAAACGAUUUAAUAGGCACAGGAAUUGAGCAUGUGAACAAAUGACUGGGGAGAAGUUACAUGAAUGUGAUAAAAAUGCACCUAUUUGACUGAGAACUGGGGCUUGUAAGGGAACUAAGACUACUUUGCGAGCUGUGUCAUACAAAAGGACUGGUGUAGGGUGAAAUAAACACUCUUAAAAACAAUGACAGUGACCUCACUCAACUGCAUAAAUGUCUGAAGCCUUAAGGGCUGGAUCUGCACUUGUUCCGAGAUGUUGUCCCAAACUGUAGGAACAUCUGGUAUCUUAUUUUUGUAUUAGUCUGCACCUCCAUUUCCUGGGGGAGCUCCCAUAGUACGUGAGGCCAAUGUAGCAUUACUUUAAGCAGCCGUGUCCUUUCUGCACAGACACACAAUCCAGCCCCGACUGGUCUACUGUUGUCUUCUUUUCAAAGGGUGAUCACACUGAAUAGGAGCCUCUUGAAGUAGCAAUAAUUAUUUUUGAUGCAAAAUGUUAAUGAGGUGGUGUUCUCCUUAGAGAAAAGUUACAAUUUCAUCUUCAGCCACAGUACCAGUAGGAGUGACUGUCAGCUGUUAAGUUACCAGUCUGCAGGCUCCCUGGGACAGAGGUGAGUCCCUCUUUUUUAUUUGGGUUGUUGGGGGACUGAGGUAGUUUCCUUGCUUAGAAAAAUGUCGAGGUGGCGUAAUUCCACUGCCUGCAGAAAUGGAGAGGCCAAGGAGCUUGGGCUGGUUUUGCCCAGGGUGGUUGCAGAUUGCAAGGCUAAGUACUUUGAAGGCACCUAUGUCCCACUUCCCAGCUCCUCAUCCUCCCCACUUGGACUUGGAACCCUCACCUGUACCACCUGUCUGCUGCAGGAGUGCAGGGAGUCUGGCAGCUGAGGCACACAGGAGCCUUUGGAGGUUUUUGAGAACCUGGGCUGGAUUGACAGCAUCCCUGGGCAGGCUAGGCUGUUUUUUUUUCUAUUGCCUACAGAUGAAAGAUUUCUUUUUUUUCCCUAACACCUUGUCGAAAUGUACUCCCUGCCCUGCUCCUGACAUGGCAAAGAAGCAAAUCCAGCCAGCAAAGCUCUGGUUUCUCCUGAGGAUUGGACUCCUCGACCGCUUGCAGCACAGCAGGUACAAAACUCACCACGUGAGGAAGGCAGUUUUGUAAACAUGCGAGCAUUACCACAGUACAAGCAUCACGCUGAGUGACAAGGUACGCUGGAAAAGGCUGAGGUUUAUGCCAUUUUACGCUGUUUGGGGGGGGUUUAGGGCAAGUCAGGUCAAUGGCCUGUCCCAGUGCACCCUGGCUCUACAACCCAGUUUCACUCCGACGUUGCAACAUCAGGCACUGGCGUUUGCCAGCUGCUGGCAAGCAGACAGCACACACAGGUGAACAGGAGCCCACUCUGCACUGACACACAAGAUCACCCUGUACAGGAUCAUCUGGACUCGUGUACUCUGCACAGCUAUGGGUUUUAAUACUUAAGCAUCCAGUUAAAAAAAUAAUAAUUGCAAAACACAUUCAAUUUGAGAAGCAGAUGUAGCUGGUGCACUAGAUAGCCCUUCCUCUACCCUCCCAUUUUUCUGCCUGACACGGUUGGUAACUGUUUGAUAUACCACAUCCAACCCUAAUGCUUUGUGCUCCACAGCUUCCAAGAAUGGUAGGGCAGGCAUGCUUCCAUUCCUGGCCAUGCCCACAAGGUGUUAUAGCAGCUAGCAGGAGAGGCAUAAACCAGGGCCCUUCAGGGUUGUCUUAACUUAUUUAUGCCUGGGUUUGAAGUGGCCUCCUAGCAAAGCCCUUGGCACAAGCGGGUCCUGCCAACAGUCUCUGCCUUCCUUCAGCUAACUCAAAUUGUCAUUCUGGAGCCUCUAAGCAACUAAAAACAAGUUUUGCUCCAGUUGCUUCUUCCAUGAUUUUGAAAGCUUUAUGAUGUUGCAUGUCAUUUACCUCUCUUUCCCAAAGGAGAGCCUCCAAAGAAUCCUUCUUCCCAGCAGAGAAGUAUAAAAUCAGUAACUUUCUACUUUGUUUCAGCUUUUCCUAUGCUUGCAGUACAGGCUGUGCCUGACUCAAGCCUGUGGCCACAUGUGUUUCGUACUCUUUCCACCUAAUGCAGCGUGGUAUCCUGUUUGCCAUCCUUCCUGCUGCUAUAUGCCAUUAGCCCGAUAGUAUCAGUUUUUCCACUCAAACUCCCACAUCCUUUUCCUGAUCAACACACUGCACAAUUGUUCCAUUGACCGCACUGUGAUGAGAAAAACUUGCUGUGCCUGAGCAUUGUCCCACAAAGAAAGGGGUGGGUUUCCUUCUUCAAGCCUAUGCUAGAGCUGUCUGUGAAUGCACUACCACAGCAUCCAUAGUCUCAAAGAAUAUU